GACGAACCGUACAAACGUUAUUCGGAAUCACUGGGCUUAAAGGGCUCGUAGGCGGCCAACUAAGUCAGACGUGAAAUCCCUCGGCUUAACCGGGGAACUGCGUCUGAUACUGGAUGGCUUGAGUAUGGGAGAGGGAUGCGGAAUUCCAGGUGUAGCGGUGAAAUGCGUAGAUAUCUGGAGGAACACCGGUGGCGAAGGCGGCAUCCUGGACCAUUACUGACGCUGAGGAGCGAAAGCCAGGGGAGCAAACGGG
rnacentral:rRNA from 1 species